CCCGCACAAGCAGCGAGGUAUGUGGUUUAAUCGAGGCUACACGAAGAACCUUUACCUGGGCUUGACAUGUAAGUGAAAGGGUUAAGAAACUAACUCUCUUAUGUAGUAAUACAUAAGACACUUACACAGGUGGUGCAUGGUUGUCGUCAGCUCGUGCCGUGAGGUGUAAGGUUAAGUCCUUGAACGAGCGCAACCCUCCCUGUUAUUUGCCAUAAGCUCUUACGAGCUUAGCACUAUAACAGUACCGCUACCGACAAGGUAGAGGAAGGCGAGGAUGACGUCAAAUCAUCACGCCCCUUAUGUCCAGGGCUACACACAUGCGACAAUGGUUGGUACAGAGGGAAGCAAUAGAGUAAUCUGGAGCAAAUCCCUAAAAACCAGCCCCAGUACAGAUCGAGGGUUGAAACCCACCCUCGUGAAGAUGGAGUUGCUAGUAAACGCAGGUCAGCUAUACUGCGUUGAAUAUGUUCCCGGGCCUU
rnacentral:rRNA from 1 species